CACAAACCUAUGAGAACCUUGAAGGGACUCAGGCUCAUCAUCUCUGGAUGCCCUGCACCUAGCAGAGAGAAGUGACUGAAUUCACUGCUGCAUCAGUGCCCAUGAGAGAAGGCUGUCCUCACUUUGAACAGAAGGUCUGGUGUAUUGAGAGCUGGAUGAGCAGCUGGGUGCAGCCUUCUCCUUAUACUCAAGUUCAACAAGACUCACAGGCAGCACAGAGCCAGAGGAUUUGCGGUCCAUUAAACACAAGGCCACGGGAAGCCUUGAAUAGUGCCCAUUCACACAGAGGCUGAGCAAAGUUUGCACUGCAGUGAGAGUGCUGUCCAGGUUAGAAACCACAACUAAAAAACAACAACAAAAACCCUCACAGACUGAAGGAGUAGCCAGGGUCUACACCAUACCCAAGGAAUCUUAUACCGAAAUGAAGAUCUGCAUAGGCCCAGCUUGUGGCUUAUGGGCCUGUGCCCUUUGGUGGCCUGGGACAGUCGAUCCUCUGAAACAGUCCAUAAAAUUACAACUUUUAGGGAAGGAACAGAUGACAUUUUUCACCAUUUUUGCUGAACACCUUGAAUGCUUUCCUUGAAAUCAGGCGGAAUGUGAAUUUCUCCAUUGAAAGAGUUAAUUGGAUAAUUUAUAUACAUUCCAGUUUUAUUUCUAGGAAUAUAUUAAAA